AUAAGUAAUGCAUACAUUAUGGCCUUCAUACUGAGGUUACAAUGAAGCUCUACUGUUUUAAUUACCUAUAUCGACCCAAUGUGUCUAACACAUGAAAGUUGCGGACAGAUUCGGGCGCACAAGAGUUUUUUUACAUGCAGUUAUUCAGCUUGUGCACUAAUUGGUUUCCGCAUCACGCAACGCUGCCCGCACUGCAGGACUGAGCGUUGUCGGGAUGACUCCCGCUUGGUAGUGCAGGAGCAUUUCCAGCAGGUGCACCUUGCACUGCCCCCUUAGGUGCACUGGCACACUGUCCAUGUCGUCUGCCAGUGAGAGAAGAAAUUGCUCGCUUCUGCCCAGUUUUUCUUCCUGCAGCUGGGCAUCCACUCUAGAUAGCAUAGCAUGUGUUUGUGAUUUCCUCUUGUGUCUUUUUGUUUGAAAAGUUGUGCGUGUAAUAGUGGAUGCAGCUUCGUGUGUUUGUGUUGGGGAGUGCGAAGAAAGGGAGGAAGGCUGUGUAGAUUGAGCGGGGUCAUGGGGCGAAAUGUUUGAGAGAGGUGUUGAUGAUCGUGUUUGUGUCAUGUCUUCCUCAUGUGGGAGUUCAAUGUCUGUUGUGUCUUCACUGCUGGAACCUUGGUGGGGCAGCAUGGAACCAAACAGCGCAGACGGGUCGUCGUCGGUAUCCCUGAGGACCUCGUCCAGUGAAUUGAGAACAUCCAGCUUUUCUGGCCUUCUGCUCCACAACAGCGGAGCAAACACAGCUGCCGCAUCUCCGAGUCCACUGAACAGAAUAUUCAAGCAUCGCCUGUACAAGAUAACACAAUCGU